rnacentral:rRNA from 1 species
CAUCCUCCAAGGCUAAAUACUCCUGACUGACCGAUAGUGAACCAGUACCGUGAGGGAAAGGCGAAAAGAACCCCGGCGAGGGGAGUGAAAAAGAACCUGAAACCGUGUACGUACAAGCAGUGGGAGCCCCACCACCAAAGCAUUUGCUGUACCGCGUUGACGGAGCGAAGCGACGUCAAACCGAUAAAACAGCAGUGUAAAGUGAGCCGCAGGGCGCUUUGCGCGACAGCGCAAAGGCAGGCGGUUUCGCGUAGCGAAAGCGAAUGCUUUGGGGUGGGGUGACUGCGUACCUUUUGUAUAAUGGGUCAGCGACUUAUAUUCUGUAGCAAGGUUAACCGAAUAGGGGAGCCGUAGGGAAACCGAGUCUUAACCGGGCGUUAAGUUGCAGGGUAUAGACCCGAAACCCGGUGAUCUAGCCAUGGGCAGGUUGAAGGUUGGGUAACACUAACUGGAGGACCGAACCGACUAAUGUUGAAAAAUUAGCGGAUGACCUGUGGCUGGGGGUGAAAGGCCAAUCAAACCGGGAGAUAGCUGGUUCUCCCCGAAAGCUAUUUAGGUAGCGCCUCGUGAAUUCAUCUCCGGGGGUAGAGCACUGUUUCGGCUAGGGGGCCAUCCCGGCUUACCAACCCGAUGCAAACUGCGAAUACCGGAGAAUGUUAUCACGGGAGACACACGGCGGGUGCUAACGUCCGUCGUGAAGAGGGAAACAACCCAGACCGCCAGCUAAGGUCCCAAAGUCAUGGUUAAGUGGGAAACGAUGUGGGAAGGCCCAGACAGCCAGGAUGUUGGCUUAGAAGCAGCCAUCAUUUAAAGAAAGCGUAAUAGCUCACUGGUCGAGUCGGCCUGCGCGGAAGAUGUAACGGGGCUAAACCAU